AGUGAACGCUGGCGGUAGGCCUAACACAUGCAAGUCGAACGGCAGCACAGUAAGAGCUUGCUCUUACGGGUGGCGAGUGGCGGACGGGUGAGGAAUACAUCGGAAUCUACUUUUUCGUGGGGGAUAACGUAGGGAAACUUACGCUAAUACCGCAUACGACCUACGGGUGAAAGCAGGGGAUCUUCGGACCUUGCGCGAUUGAAUGAGCCGAUGUCGGAUUAGCUAGUUGGCGGGGUAAAGGCCCACCAAGGCGACGAUCCGUAGCUGGUCUGAGAGGAUGAUCACCCAGACUGGAACUGAGACACGGUCCAGACUCCUACGGGAGGCAGCAGUGGGGAAUAUUGGACAAUGGGCGAAAGCCUGAUCCAGCCAUACCGCGUGGGUGAAGAAGGCCUUCGGGUUGUAAAGCCCUUUUGUUGGGAAAGAAAAGCAGCAGGUUAAUACCCCGCUGUUCUGACGGUACCCAAAGAAUAAGCACCGGCUAACUUCGUG
rnacentral:rRNA from 1 species